UCACAAGUUGACUUGCUGAUUUAUCUUCGAUUAUUUGGCCUCUUAAUAAAAAAAGGAGAUAUCACUUUGACAUUGCCACUAAUAUUGAUCUGCUUAUAAAACAAAUAUACGAUUUGAAGACAUUAUAUAUACAGUAAUACAAGUUCCCAAAGAUAUGAGCAGAAGACAAGUCGACGAGGCGCUUGGCCUAGUAUCACGAACGUUCUCAGGUUUUAAACUUAACUCAGCAGAUGAGAUUUGAGUUUCCACUCAGCUGAGAAUUGAGAUUGACGUGGAGCUCACGAACGACCUCAAAACUCAUCUCAGUUGAGUUCGACUCAACUUGCCGUCCCGACUCAAAUAUUUAUGUGUUAAAGAUGUAAGCGACGUUCUUCAAAAAGAGAUUUAUUUAUAACAUUUUUACGGGAAACUGUCAGUUUUCUAUUCGUCUGCGACGAUGCCCAGAUCUGAUAAUUUUACGGAGUUCGAGAGGCUCUGUCUCUUUGAGCAAAUUAUCAACAAUUACGAUGAUCUAUACGGGCAACUUAAAGCCUCAAAUGGAAAAGAAAUGCGAGGCGAAAUAUGGAAGUCAAUAUUGGCAGACUUGCGAAGCACAGGUAAGCUUCAAGGGGACCGGACGGUCGAAGAAGUUAUGAAGAUGUUCGCAAACACAAAAACAAGAGUAUGGGACAAAUUUAAAAACAGUCAGAAAACUGGUGGUGGGCCAGCAAAACCAUUCAAACCGUCUGAGGAAUUGACAGACCACAAUUGGAUGGAAUAAUUGGAGGAAUUGAAACCUCAGCAGAUUCAUCAUCAUUGGUGCCAAAAGCAGUGGCUUCAUUGCAUGAAGACACUCAAAGUUCUCAUGGCACUCCAGUGGGUGAAUAUGAAGUCGAGAUGAAAAGUUCCAUUUUGAAUCAUGCUGUAAGGCCUGUAUUAGCUCCCCCGAUAUCGACAUCUUCUGUUGUGCAGUCAAAGGCAGCACCAUUAUCUGCUGAUGUGUGCUCUAAAAUGAAGGAAAAGAACAAAAUAUCAAAGAGAGCAAGGGAAGCUGUGGAGGAAGACCUCUACAGUCUGGAAAAAAAACGUCUUUUGCUGGAAAUUGUUCUGCUAGAGCAAAAAAUUGCUCAUGACAAAGAAUUGCACGAGCUGCGAAAAGAUAUGAUUUCAAAAGAUCACUUGAUUCAUUUUGAACUUUAAUGAAUAUAUAGAUAAAACAUAUAACAUCACAACAGUAAUUCUGUAAGACGCAAUAAAAUAGAUAUUGUGCAUAAUUAAGAUUUUUAAGUUAUGAAUAAUUCAUCAGAUGCAAUUCAUUGUCAUGAGCAAUCAUCUGUUCAAGCAGAACAAUUUCCAACAAAAUAUUUUCUUCAAGAUUUUAAAAGAUUUAUUUAUAUUAAAACAUUAUUAAGGCACGAUUGGUCAUUGUUGGCUCGGGUAAUACUUAAUUCGAAAUUGUGCCCCGGGUAUAUUUAAAUGUACCCCAGGUAUGGAAAAUUAAUUAAACCUAUCGGGGAAUUCUAAGGCUAAAUUGCUCCUUAUCGGCUUCUUUUUCUUCAAAUUAAUAAUGUUCAUAUCUAUGUCAAUAUUUUUUUGAAAUUGUCUCUAUAUUAUCGAAACUCAUACUCAAAACAGCAUGUUCAGGCAGGUUUUGUUCAAAGAGAAUUUUGUUUCGUAUUGCUUAGCGCUUUUUUUGACACUUGAUUAAGGGUGGGAAUAAAAACCGAGUAGUUUUAAUUGGCCAAGUAUUUUGUAGUAUAUUUUUAGUACCUGGGGUACAUUUAAAUAUACUUACAGAGUACCCUUGUUUCAUUUAAGUAGUACCCAAGACGACAAUGACCAAUCAAACAAUCAACCAUAUUUGUUGAUCGCUGAAUACUUAAAUACGCAAUCAAGCAUUAUUAAGUAUUGCUAAUUUCGUGUACAUAAAAAAACAACAACAUUGGAUUGUUUAUUUAGAUUGUUAAUUUAUGAGUUAAGUGUUAAAGUUAGCUGUAUUGUUAAGUUUAUUGUAACUUAAAAAAAAGUUUGUUUUAUAAAUGCUCAUUUGUUUAAUUACUGAUUAAAAUAAAACAAAAAAAAACGUCAAUUCAAAUAUAUGAUUUUGAUUCCAAUUUGGAUUUCUUGAAUCAUUUGUUUAAAUUUUCUAUGUGUAUGUUUUACAUCAGCGGGUGGUGGACGGACAGACGGACUGACAUGUGCAAAACAAUAUACCCCCUUUUCUUCGAAGGGGGGCAUAAAAAUGGAUUUGUUAUUUAAAUUGUUGAUUUGUUUAUUUUUAAAUUGUUAGGUGAAGGGUAAAGUUUGUAAAUUAGCUGUGUUGUAUAAUACAUUCAAAGUAACACGUGAUUGAUAUAUGAUCAUAAUUUGUUGUUGUUAAUAAUGAUAACUUAUUCAAAAAAAACAUCACUAAUAUCUAUUCACAUUCCAUUUGGAUUACUUUACUCGUUUGUAAUAGUGUUCUCGUGUUUAUGGUUUUAUUCAUGGGUGUUGAUGGUGAUUUUUGUAUUAUACAGUGGUAUGUAUAGCUGAAUAGAUUAUCUUAACCCAUUUAUGCCUUGUGGACUUCUCCCAUCCUUCUAAAAUGGAUCAAUUUAUUUCCAAAAAGAUACACAUGCAUGCAAAUACCAAGUUGCUAUCUUUAAUAUUGCAAAAGUUAUGGCCAAUGUUAAAGUUUUCGGACAGACGCACAGACUGACGGACAGUUCAACUGCUAUAUGCCACCCUACCGGGGGCAUAAAAAUUACAUUUCAACCUCGCUCUGUGAAAAGGGGGUUUAAUGCACCUGCAUUAAUGGAAGAAUGUGAUCAAUUAUAAAUGAGACGCGCUUUGAGAAAAAGGGGUUAAAUGCAAAUGCUUCAAGUGUCGUCCAAUAUUAGCCUGUGCAAUGUACAUGGGUUGUUCACUCUAAUGUGUAUAUUGAUAUUCACUCUUAUGUUCAUAUUGAAAUUAUUUGGUCAAUAAUUUAAUUUGUUUUCCCGUACCUUUUUUAAAAUAUGUUAGUGAUUCAAUAUCCCUGUAUCGCUGAAAGUAGCUCAGGCACCUAGUCCCCCGAGAUAUAACUCAUAUUAGCUGCUCUGUGGCAGGGGUAUCAUCGGACGCCACCCGACUCAUUGUCGCUAGGUUCGGCUAAUAUCAGCUUCUCCUCCCAUUUAAAGUUUAAAAAUCCGUGUGUCACUUGUGUUCGGAGGCACAGCACUUUAAAUGAACACACAUUUUAAAGACUUGUUUUGUCUUUAUCAGGUGUAAAUGUACACACAUUUUUAAGACUUGUUUUGUCUUUAUCAGGU